AAGCUUCCUGCUAUCGAGACAAAAGACGCUUUCAGCAUUAGUUGGAUCCAGGAGGAAAUUAUUCUCUCCCUCUCCCUCCCAGGAGGUGAGUGCGUGGAGCUGAGGGCCGGGUUUCUGUGGGAGUUUCGUGAGGUUGCAGGUCUCCAGGCGGCUCCAUGGUCGCCCCCGGAAUGCGAUGUCAAGUGGGGAGCAGGGGGGG